rnacentral:rRNA from 1 species
UACAGGGGGUGCAAACGUUGCUCGGAAUCAUUGGGCGUAAAGCGCACGUAGGCGGUUCGUUAUGUCGGAUGUGAAAGCCCUUGGCUUAACUGAGGAAGUGCAUCCGAAACUGGCGAGCUAGAGUACUAAAGAGGAUCGCGGAAUUCCCGGUGUAGAGGUGAAAUUCGUAGAUAUCGGGAGGAACACCGGUGGCGAAGGCGGCGAUCUGGCUCGUUUCUGACGCUCAGGCGCGACAGCGUGGGGAUCAAACAGG